rnacentral:rRNA from 1 species
UAGGGAAUCUUCCACAAUGGACGCAAGUCUGAUGGAGCAACGCCGCGUGAGUGAAGAAGGGUUUCGGCUCGUAAAGCUCUGUUGGUAGUGAAGAAAGAUAGAGGUAGUAACUGGCCUUUAUUUGACGGUAAUUACUUAGAAAGUCACGGCUAACUACGUGCCAGCAGCCGCGGUAAUACGUAGGUGGCGAGCGUUGUCCGGAUUUAUUGGGCGUAAAGCGAGUGCAGGCGGUUCAAUAAGUCUGAUGUGAAAGCCUUCGGCUCAACCGGAGAAUUGCAUCAGAAACUGUUGAACCUGAGUGCAGAAGAGGAGAGUGGAACUCCAUGUGUAGCGGUGGAAUGCGUAGAUAUAUGGAAGAACACCAGUGGCGAAGGCGGCUCUCUGGUCUGCAACUGACGCUGAGGCUCGAAAGCAUGGGUAGCGAACAGGAUUAGAUACCCUGGUAGUCCAUGCCGUAAACGAUGAGUGCUAAGUGUUGGGAGGUUUCCGCCUCUCAGUGCUGCAGCUAACGCAUUAAGCACUCCGCCUGGGGAGUACGACCGCAAGGUUG